rnacentral:rRNA from 9 species
ACAACUUUCAACAACGGAUCUCUUGGCUCUCGCAUCGAUGAAGAACGCAGCGAAAUGCGAUAAGUAAUGUGAAUUGCAGAAUUCAGUGAAUCAUCGAAUCUUUGAACGCACCUUGCGCUCCUUGGUAUUCCGAGGAGCAUGCCUGUUUGAGUGUCAUUA